GUUUGAUCCUGGCUCAGAACGAGCGUUGGCGGCGUGGAUUAGGCAUGCAAGUCGAACGAAUCCCAGGGGGGUAACUCUCUGGGGGAAGUGGCGAAAGGGGCAGUAAAGCGUGGGUAACCUACCCCGGGGAUCGGGAUAGCCAUUCUAACGAGUGGGUAAUACCGGGCGAUGCGGCGAGGAGGCAUCUCUUUGCCGUGAAAUGAGUUUCGCCUCGGGAGGGGCUCACGUAGUAUUAGCUUGUUGGUGGGGUAACGGCUCACCAAGGCCAAGAUGCUUAGCGGGUGUGAGAGCACGACCCGCGCCACUGGCACUGAGACACUGGCCAGACUCCUACGGGAGGCUGCAGUCGAGGAUCUUCGGCAAUGGGCGCAAGCCUGACCGAGCGACGCCGCGUGUGCGAUGAAGGCCUUCGGGUUGUAAAGCACUGUCGAGGGGGAGGAAGCUCCGCAAGGGGUUGACCUAUCCCUGGAGGAAGCACGGGCUAAGUUCGUGCCAGCAGCCGCGGUAAGACGAACCGUGCGAACGUUGUUCGGAUUCACUGGGCUUAAAGGGCGCGUAGGCGGGCGGUCAAGUCGGGGGUGAAAUCUUUCAGCUUAACUGGAAAAGUGCCUCCGAUACUGAUUGUCUUGAGGGAGGUAGGGGCAUGUGGAACUUCCGGUGGAGCGGUGAAAUGCGUAGAUAUCGGAAGGAACGCCGGUGGCGAAAGCGACGCGCUGGACCUCUUCUGACGCUGAGGCGCGAAAGCUAGGGGAGCGAACGGGAUUAGAUACCCCGGUAGUCCUAGCCCUAAACGAUGGGUACUAGAUUGUGGACUUGACAUGGGUUCACAGUCG
rnacentral:rRNA from 1 species